rnacentral:rRNA from 1 species
ACGGGUGAGUAAUGCUUAUCUUACUUGCCAAUUAGUGGGGGACAACCUUGGGAAACCAGGGCUAAUACCGCAUUUGUUGCUUCGGCAAUGAAAGGGGGUCGCAAGAUUCUCGCUAAUUGAUAGGGAUAAGCCGUAUUAGUUAGUUGGUAGGGUAAUGGCCUACCAAGACCAUGAUGCGUAGUCAGCCUGAGAGGGUGAAUGGCCACAAGGGAACUGAGACACGGUCCCUACUCCUACGGGAGGCAGCAGUGAGGAAUUUUCGGCAAUGGGGGAAACCCUGACCGAGCAAUACUACGUGAAGGAGGAAGGUCUACGGAUUGUAAACUUCUGUUGGUGCGGAAGAAGGGUUGAACGUAAGUUCAAUUUUGACGGUACGCACAGAGAAAGCCACGACUAACUAUGUGCCAGCAGUCGCGGUAAGACAUAGGUGGCGAACGUUAUCCGGAAUUAUUGGGCGUAAAGGGUGCGUAGAUGGUGCAAUAAGUUAUCAGUGGCAAACCGGGGCUUAACCUCGUGGAAGCUGGUAAUACUGUUGUGCUAGAAUACAGGAGAGGUUAACGGAACUUCAUGUGGAGCGGUAAAAUGUGUAGAUAUAUGAAAGAACACCAAUAAGGCGAAGGCAGUUAACUAUUCUGUUAUUGACAUUGAGGCACGAAAGCGUGGGGAGCAAAAAGGAUUAGAUACCCUUGUAGUCCACGCCCUAAACGAUGAGUGCUAGAUAUUGGGGACUAGAUUCUCAGUGUCGCUAGUUAACACUUUAAGCACUCCGCCUGGGUAGUACGCUCGCAAGAGUGAAACUCAAAGGAAUUGACGGGGACUCGCACAAGCAGUGGAGCAUGUGGUUUAAUCCGAUGCAACGCGUAGAACCUUACCAAGGCUUGACAUGUCCGGCAAAGCUAGCGAAAGCUAGGGGAGGUUAUCCGGUCACAGGUGCUGCAUGGCCGUCGUCAGUUCGUGCCGUGAGGUGUAUGGUUAAGUCCUAUAACGAACGCAACCCUUGUGCUUAGUUGCCAGCAUUCAGUUGGGGAAUCUAGGCAGACUGCCGGGGUAACUCGGAGGAAGGAAAGGAUGACGUCUGGUCGUC